AUUGAACGCUGGCGGCAGGCCUAACACAUGCAAGUCGAGCGGAGCGGCGGACGGGUGAGUAAUGCCUAGGAAUCUGCCUGGUAGUGGGGGAUAAAGUCCGGAAACGGGCGCUAAUACCGCAUACUAUAAGAUGAGCUUAGGUGGGAGUAGAGAGUUGGGGGGGUAAAGGCCUACCAAGGAGACGAUCCGUCACCGGUCUGAGAGGAUGAUCAGCCACACUGGAACGUAUACACGGCCCAGACUCCUACGGGAGGCAGCAGUGGGGAAUAUUGGACAAUGGGCGAAAUCCUGAUCCAGCCAUGCCGCGUGUGUGAAGAAGGUCUUCGGAUUGUAAAGCACUUUAAGUUGGGAGGCGUUACCAACAGAAUAAGCACCGGCUAACUUCGUGCCAGCAGCCGCGGUAAUAC
rnacentral:rRNA from 1 species